rnacentral:rRNA from 1 species
CGCCUACGGGGCGCAGCAGUGGGGAAUAUUGCACAAUGGAGGGAACUCUGAUGCAGCGACGCCGCGUGAGUGAAGAAGUAAUUCGUUAUGUAAAGCUCUAUCAGCAGGGAAGAAAGUGACGGUACCUGAAAAAGAAGCUCCGGCUAAAUACGUGCCAGCAGCCGCGGUAAUACGUAUGGAGCAAGCGUUAUCCGGAUUUACUGGGUGUAAAGGGAGCGCAGACGGCAGGGCAAGUCUGAUGUGAAAGUCCGGGGCUCAACCCCGGGACUGCAUUGGAAACUGUCCGGCUAGAGUGCAGGCGAGGG